rnacentral:lncRNA from 1 species
GGCUGACCCAGAACCUAAGGGAGACAGACCAGAGGGAUAAAUCCAGGAGAUGGCGAGGCAUUGGCUGGAGGGGAGAGUUCAGGUACUUAAAGUACCUGGGUUUAAAGUUCAAGGGGCAUAAGUUUCCCAGUGGGGAGCAGGGAACAUAUGUUGCAAACACACCACUGAUCUAUAUGUGUACAUGUAUUUUCUUAGCUUCAGAGAAAAAUCCAAAGAAACAGAUCCAACCCCUCCCCCACCAGCUUUAACCUCUGUUCACUCCCACCACACCCCUAAAUAUGGACAGACAGACAGACUGGCAGACAGAUGGAUGCUGCUGUGCUAGUACCUCUGCAUGUGAUUAGCCUACGGUGUUGCAUGUGUCUGUCCCCUUUCUUGGGGAUAGGAUCAGUGACAUGUUGGCCUCUGCCCCGUAUCCUAACUAAAUGUCACCUUCAGCCAGACUGUUCCAGCAGGUUUUCCUCAGAGAGUGAGCGCUGGGAGCUUGGAGCCCAGGCCUGGGUAGAUAUCAGUGGUCAGACAUGCCUAGUUUACUCUUUUCACCUGGAAACUUGAUUUCUCCUAAGCCUGAGACCACUGUGUGGGUGGGGCCCGAGUAAGCAGCCUGGCGCCAUGACCCGCCCCAGCUGUAGCCUGUUCUUCCCAUAUUACCCAGAGCCUUCCGGG